rnacentral:tRNA from 1 species
GCUCUCAUAGCUCAGUCGGCAGAGCGCAUCCUUGGUAAGGAUGAGGUCGGCAGUUCGAAUCUGCCUGAGAGCUCCA